rnacentral:rRNA from 1 species
UAACGCAUUAAGUUCCCCGCCUGGGGAGUACGGCCGCAAGGCUAAAACUCAAAGGAAUUGACGGGGACCCGCACAAGCGGCGGAGCAUGCGGAUUAAUUCGAUGCAACGCGAAGAACCUUACCAAGGCUUGACAUAUACGAGAACGGGCCAGAAAUGGUCAACUCUUUGGACACUCGUAAACAGGUGGUGCAUGGUUGUCGUCAGCUCGUGUCGUGAGAUGUUGGGUUAAGUCCCGCAACGAGCGCAACCCUCGUUCUAUGUUGCCAGCACGUAAUGGUGGGAACUCAUGGGAUACUGCCGGGGUCAACUCGGAGGAAGGUGGGGAUGACGUCAAAUCAUCAUGCCCCUUAUGUCUUGGGCUUCACGCAUGCUACAAUGGCCGGUACAAAGGGCUGCAAUACCGUGAGGUGGAGCGAAUCCCAAAAAGCCGGUCCCAGUUCGGAUUGAGGUCUGCAACUCGACCUCAUGAAGUCGGAGUCGCUAGUAAUCGCAGAUCAGCAACGCUGCGGUGAAUACGUUCCCGGGUCUUGUACACACCGCCCGUCAAGUCAUGAAAGUCGGUAACACCUGAAGCCGGUGGCCUAACCCUUGUGGAGGGAGCUGUCGAAGGUGGGAUCGGUAAUUAGGACUU